rnacentral:lncRNA from 1 species
ACAUAAACCUGAUUGUAAAAUCCCUUCUGUGGGACGUUCUAAAGGUUGACAAGAGUUGUAGAAUAACACGUUUAUACUCUGGGGACCAUUUAUACGCCAAUAAAUGCAAUGUCUGUGCUGAAGAAGAGAUAUUUCUAAAAUUGUUUUAAUAAACGGCCUUGACUACUUAUUGUCCCCUUUACCUUUCACAUCUUACUUUCCAUUUCUGCUGUCACUGUAUAUUCAUGUUAAAAAUAU